GUGAGGAAUAUUGCGCAAUGGAGGCAACUCUGACGCAGCCAUGCCGCGUGCAGGAAGAAGGCGCUACGCGUUGUAAACUGCUUUUAACCGGGAAGAAACCCCAGGACGUGUCCUGGGUUGACGGUACCGGAGGAAUAAGCACCGGCUAACUUCGUGCCAGCAGCCGCGGUAAUACGAAGGGUGCAAGCGUUAUCCGGAUUCAUUGGGUUUAAAGGGUGCGUAGUCGGAGCGUUAAGUUAGUGGUGAAAUCCUGCAGCUUAACUGUAGACUUGCCAUUGAUACUGGCGCUCUUGAGUGCGCUUGAAGUGGGCGGAAUGUGCCGUGUAGCGGUGAAAUGCUUAGAUAUGGCACAGAACACCAAUUGCGAAGGCAGCUCACUAAGGCGAUACUGACGCUGAGGCACGAAAGCGUGGGGAUCGAACAGGAUUAGAAACCCGUGUAGUCC
rnacentral:rRNA from 1 species